UGCUGUAUUAUCUUCUACAUUGUUUAAAAUUAGGUAAAUAUUAUUUUAAGUUUUAUCAAUUUAAGUUAUUUUUUUAAUGUUGGAUGACUGCAAAUAAUGAUGGAGAAGCGCGUGUGAGUGCAGCAGGAUAUAUUUAAGAAGUAGGUAAGUUCUGAUUGCCAUCAGAACUUAGUUUUGCAAAAGGUGUGUUGUUCACAUGACCUAACCUACGUACAUACUCCGUUUUUCAGUGUUUUACCUUCAGGACAUUUACAAGAUUGUGAUGUAUCUGGUGCAAUAACCUUUACAAUUGCAGGUGCACCAAAAAACGCACCAGUGAAUAUACCCAAUGCAACAAGUGCUGGCCACGGCAUUCUGCCAAACACUGCAAGCAGUGCUGCACCGAUAAUCACCACCGUCAUGAUUGGCCCACCGAUCGUAUGUGAAUAGUUUACUAUUGCACAUAUUACUAUUGAUGUUGCAUCAAGUUCAGGAGUAGUAGCAGCAGCCUCGAAUGCAAAAGAAAAAAUUAAAGCAAUAAGUAAAAGAAAAUUUUUCAUUACACAUCUUUAAUAUAUUUAUGUCUAAUUAUCUUUUAUAUUGGUUAAAAUUGGGUAAACAUUACUUUAAACUUUAUCUAAAAUGUGAGAAAAAAUAAAAAAGAC